CGGAAUGUAGCGCGGCCAGUUUAGCGCGUCGGUCUGGGGGACUGGAGGUCGUGGGUUGGAAUCCCGCCAUUCCGACCA
rnacentral:tRNA from 1 species